CCACCACUAAGCCAGUGGUGAACUCCACAUACGCAUCCUUUGCUGAGGAUACGGUUAACGGAGCGAAAGCGACGUUCAACCGCAAAACAAGCAGAGGGGGCUUAGUGGUGGGGUGACUGCGUACCUUUUGUAUAAUGGGUCAGCGACUUAUAUUCUGUAGCAAGGUUAACCGAAUAGGGGAGCCGGAGGGAAACCGAGUCUUAAUUGGGCGUUAAGUUGCAGGGUAUAGACCCGAAACCCGGUGAUCUAGCCAUGGGCAGGUUGAAGGUUGGGUAACACUAACUGGAGGACCGAACCGACUAAUGUUGAAAAAUUAGCGGAUGACCUGUGGCUGGGGGUGAAAGGCCAAUCAAACCGGGAGAUAGCUGGUUCUCCCCGAAAGCUAUUUAGGUAGCGCCUCGUGAAUUCAUCUCCGGGGGUAGAGCACUGUUUCGGCUAGGGGGCCAUCCCGGCUUACCAACCCGAUGCAAACUGCGAAUACCGGAGAAUGUUAUCACGGGAGACACACGGCGGGUGCUAACGUCCGUCGUGAAGAGGGAAACAACCCAGACCGCCAGCUAAGGUCCCAAAGUCAUGGUUAAGUGGGAAACGAUGUGGGAAGGCCCAGACAGCCAGGAUGUUGGCUUAGAAGCAGCCAUCAUUUAAAGAAAGCGUAAUAGCUCACUGGUCGAGUCGGCCUGCGCGGAAGAUGUAACGGGGCUAAACCAUGCACCGAAGCUGCGGCAGCGAACGUAUCACUUAAAGCGAUUCAGCGGGUUACGAUUGACGGAGCGAAGCGACGUCAAAGCGUAUACAAAGUCGAGUCGGUUUAAGGAUACGUUCGUUGGGUAGGGGAGCGUUCUGUAAGCCUGUGAAGGUGGCCUGUGAGGGUUGCUGGAGGUAUCAGAAGUGCGAAUGCUGACAUAAGUAACGAUAAAGCGGGUGAAAAGCCCGCUCGCCGGAAGACCAAGGGUUCCUGUCCAACGUUAAUCGGGGCAGGGUGAGUCGACCCCUAAGGCGAGGCCGAAAGGCGUAGUCGAUGGGAAACGGGUUAAUAUUCCCGUACUUGGUGUUACUGCGAAGGGGGGACGGAGAAGGCUAUGUUGGCCGGGCGACGGU
rnacentral:rRNA from 1 species